CCUACGGGAGGCAGCAGUGAGGAAUAUUGGUCAAUGGGCGCGAGCCUGAACCAGCCAAGUCGCGUGAGGGAAGACGGUCCUAUGGAUUGUAAACCUCUUUUGUCGGGGAGCAAAAGACUCCACGCGUGGCGUUCCGAGAGUACCCGAAGAAAAAGCAUCGGCUAACUCCGUGCCAGCAGCCGCGGUAAUACGGAGGAUGCGAGCGUUAUCCGGAUUUAUUGUGUUUAAAGGGCGCGUAGAUGGGUUGUUAAGUCAGUUGUGAAAGUUUGGGGCUGAACCGUAACAUUGCAAUUGAUACUGGCAGUCUUGAGUACAGUUGGGGUAGGCGGAAUUCGUGGUGUAGCGGUGAAAUGCUUAGAGAUCACGAAGAACCCCGAUUGCGAAGGCAGCUUACUAAACUGUGACUGACAUUGAUGCACGAAAGUGUGGGGAGCAAACAGGAUUAGAUACCCGGGUAGUC
rnacentral:rRNA from 1 species